AGAACUUACCACCUUUGACAUGCCGGACCGCCAGAGAGAUCUGGUUUUCCCUUCGGGGACUGGGACACAGGUGCUGCAUGGCUGUCGUCAGCUCGUGUCGUGAGACGUUGGGUUAAGUCCCGCAACGAGCGCAACCCUUGUCCUUAGUUGCCAGCACGUAAUGGUGGGAACUCUAGGGAGACUGCCGGUGACAAACCGGAGGAAGGUGGGGAUGACGUCAAGUCAUCAUGGCCCUUACGGCCAGGGCUACACACGUACUACAAUGGUCGGGACAGAGGGCAGCGAGACCGCGAGGUGGAGCCAAUCCCAGAAACCCGAUCCCAGUCCGGAUUGCAGUCUGCAACUCGACUGCAUGAAGUCGGAAUCGCUAGUAAUCGCAGAUCAGCAUUGCUGCGGUGAAUACGUUCCCGGGCCUUGUACACACCGCCCGUCACACCAUGGGAGUUGGUUGCUCCAGAAGCAGGUAGUCUAACCGCAAGGGGGACGCUUGCCACGGAGUGGUCAAUGACUGGGGUGAAGUCGUAACAAGGUAACCGUAA
rnacentral:rRNA from 1 species